CGGAGCAUGUGGUUUAAUUCGAAGCAACGCGAAGAACCUUACCAGGGCUUGACAUGCCGCUGACCGGUGCAGAGAUGCAUCUUUACCCUUCGGGGUACAGCGGACACAGGUGGUGCAUGGUUGUCGUCAGCUCGUGUCGUGAGAUGUUGGGUUAAGUCCCGCAACGAGCGCAACCCUUGUCUUUAGUUGCCAUCAUUAAGUUGGGCACUCUAAAGAGACUGCCGAUGACAAAUCGGAGGAAGGUGGGGAUGACGUCAAAUCAUCAUGCCCUUUAUGUCCUGGGCUACACACGUGCUACAAUGGUCGGUACAACGAGAAGCAAGUCAGCGAUGGCAAGCAAAUCUCUAAAAGCCGAUCCCAGUUCGGAUUGCAGGCUGCAACUCGCCUGCAUGAAGUCGGAGUUGCUAGUAAUCGCGGAUCAGAAUGCCGCGGUGAAUGCGUUCCCGGGUCUU
rnacentral:rRNA from 2 species